rnacentral:rRNA from 1 species
GAUGAACGCUGGCGGCGUGCCUAAUACAUGCAAGUCGAGCGAACGGACGAGAAGCUUGCUUCUCUGAUGUUAGCGGCGGACGGGUGAGUAACACGUGGAUAACCUACCUAUAAGACUGGGAUAACUUCGGGAAACCGGAGCUAAUACCGGAUAAUAUUUUGAACCGCAUGGUUCAAAAGUGAAAGACGGUCUUGCUGUCACUUAUAGAUGGAUCCGCGCUGCAUUAGCUAGUUGGUAAGGUAACGGCUUACCAAGGCAACGAUGCAUAGCCGACCUGAGAGGGUGAUCGGCCACACUGGAACUGAGACACGGUCCAGACUCCUACGGGAGGCAGCAGUAGGGAAUCUUCCGCAAUGGGCGAAAGCCUGACGGAGCAACGCCGCGUGAGUGAUGAAGGUCUUCGGAUCGUAAAACUCUGUUAUUAGGGAAGAACAUAUGUGUAAGUAACUGUGCACAUCUUGACGGUACCUAAUCAGAAAGCCACGGCUAACUACGUGCCAGCAGCCGCGGUAAUACGUAGGUGGCAAGCGUUAUCCGGAAUUAUUGGGCGUAAAGCGCGCGUAGGCGGCUUUUUAAGUCUGAUGUGAAAGCCCACGGCUCAACCGUGGAGGGUCAUUGGAAACUGGAAAACUUGAGUGCAGAAGAGGAAAGUGGAAUUCCAUGUGUAGCGGUGAAAUGCGCAGAGAUAUGGAGGAACACCAGUGGCGAAGGCGACUUUCUGGUCUGUAACUGACGCUGAUGUGCGAAAGCGUGGGGAUCAAACAGGAUUAGAUACCCUGGUAGUCCACGCCGUAAACGAUGAGUGCUAAGUGUUAGGGGGUUUCCGCCCCUUAGUGCUGCAGCUAACGCAUUAAGCACUCCGCCUGGGGAGUACGACCGCAAGGUUGAAACUCAAAGGAAUUGACGGGGACCCGCACAAGCGGUGGAGCAUGUGGUUUAAUUCGAAGCAACGCGAAGAACCUUACCAAAUCUUGACAUCCUUUGACAACUCUAGAGAUAGAGCUUUCCCCUUCGGGGGACAAAGUGACAGGUGGUGCAUGGUUGUCGUCAGCUCGUGUCGUGAGAUGUUGGGUUAAGUCCCGCAACGAGCGCAACCCUUAAGCUUAGUUGCCAUCAUUAAGUUGGGCACUCUAAGUUGACUGCCGGUGACAAACCGGAGGAAGGUGGGGAUGACGUCAAAUCAUCAUGCCCCUUAUGAUUUGGGCUACACACGUGCUACAAUGGACAAUACAAAGGGCAGCGAAACCGCGAGGUCAAGCAAAUCCCAUAAAGUUGUUCUCAGUUCGGAUUGUAGUCUGCAACUCGACUACAUGAAGCUGGAAUCGCUAGUAAUCGUAGAUCAGCAUGCUACGGUGAAUACGUUCCCGGGUCU